CCCCUUGCCACUCUGAAGGUCUUUCCGUAGAUUUUCUCCUGUUCUUGUAAAAUGGGGGUGAUAUUGUAUGAUCCUCACAUCUUAGACUCAACGAUCUAGUUAUUGAUGAUUAUCGUUAGUGUAGACUCAACAUUGCGGUUCUUAAAUAUGGUUUCUUUUGUUAUUUCUCGGCAAAUUCUGCUGGAACUUCCCUCACCCCUUCUCUUUUGUGCACGCUUCCUAAUGUACAUCCCCAUCUGUGCACCGUAAUUUUGUCUGCAUGUGAACCUGCAUGGUCUACCUAGCAUCUAUGGCUUAGCUUUAGUUGAAUUCCGGCCCACUGUUUUGAUGCUUUCCUCUAUGAUCUUGAAGAUAAUGUUGUGAGAGGACGUGCAUCAUCUCACUCUGUUUUCCUUGACAUAUUGUAGCCAGAAGCGCCAUACUUUUUCUAGAGCCUAUAUCAAGUUCGAGAGGCUGGAGGAUGUAACAGAAUUUGCGGGGUUCUUUGAUGGGCACGUGUUUGUGAAUGAGAAGGGUGCCCAAUUCAAAACAAUUGUUGAGUAUGCUCCUUUUCAACGUGUUCCGGCCCAACGUUUAAGGAAAGAUAGUCGUGAAGGGACCCUAAUUACAGAUCCUGAGUAUAUUGAAUUCCUCAAAUUAUUGGUAACGCCCGUUGAGAAUCUUCCCAGUGUGGAGAUACAGCUGGGGAGAAGAGAGGGGGAGGGAUCCGGUGCUGCAGAAGGUGUUCCUAUUGUUACAACGCCUCUAAUGGAUUAUGUUCGUCGAAAAAGAGCUUCUAAGAGUUCAAGGACAAGAGGCAAAUUGAAGGAAAAAGCUGGGAAGCCAUCAGCUGAAACUAAGCCUUCAUUAUUAUCUAAACUCAAUACCAAAAAAAGGACUUCCACAACAACGGAGUAGCUGGUUUUGACAAUUCCAGGAACAGGAAAAUCCGCUUUCAGAAAGGAAGGUGAGACAAAUUCAUGAGGUCUUUGGUGGUAUUGCACUGCGGCUAUUCCAAGAAAAACACAUGACGGUUCCAUCUGCUAAAAAGCAUCAUCACCGAAGUGAAAAACGUAAUCUUGGAAAUCAAUAUGUGCAUAAAUAUCUGCCUAAAAUUCAUCUAGGAAAUGGAAAAAGACCUCCUGGGGCCCCACUUGUACAACCAUCUGUAAAAGAUGCAAACAGUGCCUCUGAUGUGGUUGUUGGGAAUGACCUACUUAAUUUGGGAGAUGAGAAACUGAAAACUCGAAUAAGGUAGAAGGAUCAAGUCACUAGACCUGACCAUGGUGUAAGGUGCCUCUGCUUUGUCAAUCGGAGGGGAUCAAAUGCAAACAAUGAGAUUUGAUCCUUCUCGGCAUUUAUAUCUGCUAAGUGUCUCUUAGAGUCUUCAGAUGGAGGCAAUGCAGAUCCUCAAGUUACCAUUUCAGCAGUUAGGAGCUCUUGAGUGAGAAGUAGAGGCAGUGGUCAGUCUUCUGUAAACAAUGGCUGGUUUUUGUUUUGGGGAUGUCAAUUACUUCCCCUCCUAAGGCCUUCCUGUCCCCAGACUCCUAUCAUGUGAUUUUGGGGUUAGUAAAUGGUCGAGUAUAGCUUCAUAUGCUUUUGAUGCAGCUAUCAUUGUGAGACUUUCCUAGAAAGGAAUAGAUGCCAAACAUGAGUAUGGCUGGCCUGGCAA